AAUAUAGCACGUAUUCUAAAAUUGGAAUGAUACAGAGAAGGUUAGCAUGGUCCCUGCAUAAUGAUGUCAUGCAAAUCUGUCAUUGACAAAAAGAUGUG
rnacentral:snRNA from 1 species